UUGGUAUGUUGUAUUUUUUA
rnacentral:miRNA from 1 species